rnacentral:lncRNA from 1 species
AUGAAAGGUUUUAGUAGUUAGUGAGAAAAAUGCAUCUGCAUAGAUGAGCACUUGUAUACUUUUUCCUUUGUAAGUGUUGGCCUUCUUAGGAUUUCACUAAUUUACUCUGAAACAAAUGGCAAUAGAUGUACUUGGGGAUUAGUAGUGGAAAGUAAUGGCACAGAUGAAAGUCAUAAGCUUGUCAAAUAGGGUCUUGAAAGUCGAAGGAAGACAAAAAUUAAUAAGUACUAAUUCAAAAAGCAAGGUCACCUUCUCUACCAGUGAGUUGUACAAGAAUUAAAGCAAUAGAGAAGUGUAGAGCAAACAUUUUCUUGUGAUGAAUUUGUCUUGCUGUUUCCCUUUACUUGUUGAAAUAUUCAUCCCAGGCCAUGCUGUGAAAUUCCAACUAUUGCCCAUUGGAGUGCAUUCCUUCCUGCUUUAAACUACCCAGACUGCGUGCCAUGAUGAGGAGCUGAAGAUAGGGACAAACUUUCCUUCAUUUUCUAGCUCUGCAGUGUGAGUCAGUGACAGUGUGAAAAGGGACUUUUUCUUUCUUCCCAAAUGCAAUGAAUAAGGCAAAUUAUCACCUUCAAAGCAUGAGGAGAAGAGUGAAGGUGGCCUUCCAUCUUAGACCUGACCAGAGCUUCUAUAACAACAGUCAAAAUUCCUUAACUGUAUUCCACUGAAACUACCAUCACCAAUGUUAAUGUCUUCAAAUUGUCAAGUUGCAUAUGUGUUCUCUUUCAUGCAACUUCACUGCCUUGGGGGGUACUGGUAGAGUAACCACUUCCUAAUGAAACUCAUCCUUUGGUGUCCAUCCAUUCCUUCCAGGUACAUGGUUUCUCCCACAAAGUUUUAGUCACUAUACAUUUGUGCUUCUUCCUACACUAUACAUUUUACUGUCCUGAGUUCUGUUCUCUCUUCCACUGGCUUCUUAUGUUGCAUAUUUGGGAUGAACAGAUGUAUAUCCUUGAUGUUCUUACUCCACUCCAAUGACAUGUAAGUAAUGGCAUCAGUCCAGCUCCUUCAGUCAUGUAUUCCAAAUGCUCUUAACACAGCUCCACCCAGAUCACCUCUCAAGUCAGCAUGACCUUACUGCUCAUAUGCCAAAACCAUUUUUCUGUAUCCUGAAAUAAGUCCUCAGCCAGCCCCUUCAGAACCAUCUUUAGCUCUCUCCUCCUUUGUAUCCUGCCUGGGUGGUUGUCAGUUCUUUCAACACCUCAUAUUCAAUACAAGGUUGGCUUACUACAAUGCUACUUACUUCUAUGGCUGCUGAUCCAGCUUAGUUUGGUCACCACCCUUUCUUGGUUUACCUAGGUUUCAGCUCUCAAACAAUUUAACCCAAGAUUCUAACCCAAGAAUCAUUUUUCUAAAAAUAAUUGUAACCAACUAUGUUUUUCUUUUUCCAUUUCUGAAUAAACCCUAAACUCUGUGGCCUUACAAUUCAAGGCAGUUCUGCAUUCCGGUUCCGAAAUUAACAGCACUCCUCUUUCCCUCCCUUCAAUUCAUGGAAUUUAAGCAGCACUUGCUGAAAGGCUCUUUGCUCCAUUUCCCAUCUUUUUCUUCUCAUUUUGGUGUUGUUUUCUGUAUGUAGAGGAUCUUCACACACAUAGUCUCCUGUCUGACUUUCUAACAACUCUCCAUCAUUCAUACUAAUCUAAUCUGCCCUGCAUCUUCCCAGACUGAAUCCCAAUACUUGGGAAGAGAUAAAGGCAAGGAAGAGUCUUAGGUUCAAGACCAGCUUCUGACAGAAGUAAGACCCUAUCCCAGGAAAGACAAAUAAAAAGGCGUAGAAAUCUCAAGUGUGGAAUGUAUAACUAAGAGCUAUGUUAUCUUAGAUGAACUCUGUCAUUCUUGAUCAGAUUAAGCCACUGAAGGUAUUGGUGGUGUAUUGCCUAUGUCUCCCUUUGAUCUGGAAAUAUACACACAUAUUGACAUUAAUGUCUUGUAAUACAAGGUCCUGAGAUAUGUAAUUCUCCAUCUUGGUUGAGGCUCAUCAUUUCAACUGUAUGACACUUUGACACUUUUUUUCAAAAACAGAGAUAGAACUUAUGCAUUUUUAUCAGAACCUUGGAAGCACAGCAAGUCUCAUGAGUCAUCUUUUGUCCUCUCCUUUAUCCUUUUUUUUAAGUAGUGAGAAUUGGAAAAUCCACAGCAAUAUUUUUCAAGGAUUAUUAAGCCAAGACACUUACAGAAAAGUACAUUUUUUACACUACUUGUUAAACACAAUUAGCGGUCAUCCAUCACUUCCCAUAGGUUGUUCAGUUUGCUUAUGAUCUCAAGUGCAUGAAAUCUCUCUAAUCAUUAUCAUCACAGGAAUCUGAUCUCUAUUUUCCUAGCUUUGUUUCAGUAUAAAAUAAUGGAAUGGUGUCACAGUCAAUGGGGAGAAACUGCUUGUGAGCUAGCCAUGUACAAGUUAUUUAACAUUGGACUUUUUCCACAGCUACACCUCCAAAAGGUGGAGUAAGGAGGUUAUUUUCUGAGUUCUAUUCUGUUAGAUGGAAAUAUAUGUUCUGCUAUGAAUGUUAGUAACUGAGUAAACUUUGAAAUAUUUCAAUAAAAGUUACCUUUUAUACU